UACAGAGGGGGCAAGCGUUGUUCGGAAUUACUGGGCGUAAAGGGCGCGUAGGCGGCCUGUUAAGUCGAACGUGAAAUCCCCGGGCUCAACCCGGGAACUGCGUCCGAUACUGGCAGGCUUGAAUUCGGGAGAGGGAUGUGGAAUUCCAGGUGUAGCGGUGAAAUGCGUAGAUAUCGGGAGGAACACCAGUGGCGAAGGCGACCUGACCUGGCCUGUUCUUGACGCUGAGGCGCGAAAGCUAGGGGAGCAAACGGG
rnacentral:rRNA from 1 species